rnacentral:tRNA from 1 species
GGCUGGGUAGCUCAGUUGGUAGAGCAAAGGACUGAAAAUCCUUGUGUCGGCGGUUCAAUUCCGCCCCCCGCCACCA